ACAACGAUUUCAAGACCUAGAGGAAAUUAAAGCAAAUACGGCAACAGAACUCAAAACUAUAACUUUAGAACAAUUUUAAAGGACUAUCGAAAAAUGGCAAGAUCGAUGGAACUACUGCAUAUUGUCUGGAGAAGAGUUUUUUGAAGACGAUAUCUUUAAGUAAUAUGUAACUUCAUUUUUGUAAUUAUUAAAAAUAAAAUCCUGGUACUUUUUGAACAGACCUCGU